GACGAACGCUUGCGGCGUGCUUAACACAUGCAAGUCGAACGGAAAGGCCCUGCUUUUGUGGGGUGCUCGAGUGGCGAACGGGUGAGUAACACGUGAGUAACCUGCCCUUGACUUUGGGAUAACUUCAGGAAACUGGGGCUAAUACCGGAUAGGAGCUCCUGCUGCAUGGUGGGGGUUGGAAAGUUUCGGCGGUUGGGGAUGGACUCGCGGCUUAUCAGCUUGUUGGUGGGGUAGUGGCUUACCAAGGCUUUGACGGGUAGCCGGCCUGAGAGGGUGACCGGCCACAUUGGGACUGAGAUACGGCCCAGACUCCUACGGGAGGCAGCAGUGGGGAAUAUUGCACAAUGGGCGGAAGCCUGAUGCAGCAACGCCGCGUGCGGGAUGGCGGCCCUCGGGUUGUAAACCGCUUUCGCCUGUGACGAAGCGUGAGUGACGGUAAUGGGUAAAGAAGCACCGGCUAACUACGUGCCAGCAGCCGCGGUGAUACGUAGGGUGCGAGCGUUGUCCGGAUUUAUUGGGCGUAAAGGGCUCGUAGGUGGUUGAUCGCGUCGGAAGUGUAAUCUUGGGGCUUAACCCUGAGCGUGCUUUCGAUACGGGUUGACUUGAGGAAGGUAGGGGAGAAUGGAAUUCCUGGUGGAGCGGUGGAAUGCGCAGAUAUCAGGAGGAACACCAGUGGCGAAGGCGGUUCUCUGGGCCUUUCCUGACGCUGAGGAGCGAAAGCGUGGGGAGCGAACAGGCUUAGAUACCCUGGUAGUCCACGCUGUAAACGGUGGGUACUAGGUGUGGGGUCCAUUCCACGGGUUCCGUGCCGUAGCUAACGCUUUAAGUACCCCGCCUGGGGAGUACGGCCGCAAGGCUAAAACUCAAAGGAAUUGACGGGGCCCCGCACAAGCGGCGGAGCAUGCGGAUUAAUUCGAUGCAACGCGUAGAACCUUACCUGGGUUUGACAUGGAUCGGGAGUGCUCAGAGAUGGGUGUGCCUCUUUUGGGGUCGGUUCACAGGUGGUGCAUGGCUGUCGUCAGCUCGUGUCGUGAGAUGUUGGGUUAAGUCCCGCAACGAGCGCAACCCUUGUUCACUGUUGCCAGCACGUUAUGGUGGGGACUCAGUGGAGACCGCCGGGGUCAACUCGGAGGAAGGUGGGGAUGACGUCAAGUCAUCAUGCCCCUUAUGUCCAGGGCUUCACGCAUGCUACAAUGGCUGGUACAGAGAGUGGCGAGCCUGUGAGGGUGAGCGAAUCUCGGAAAGCCGGUCUCAGUUCGGAUUGGGGUCUGCAACUCGACCUCAUGAAGUCGGAGUCGCUAGUAAUCGCAGAUCAGCAACGCUGCGGUGAAUACGUUCCCGGG
rnacentral:rRNA from 1 species